GGGAGUGAUUUCUUAUUAAUAAAGAGGGCCUCGGCCCUCAUAGGACAGAAAAUUAGGUAGGCGGAGUAAACAGAAGAGAAUUCUGGGAAAAAGAAGCUGAGUCAGAGAGUAGUCGCCAUGAUGCUCCCGCUCCAGACAGAUGCAGGUUAAGAUCCUCCCUGUAGGGGGCAGUGUUGAUGGGACAAAAGAGAAAGAAAAUACCGUGAGGAGAUAGGAGUCCUGACCAGGAGCGGGCGACAGUUCCAGCUGUGUUUUGCUCAGUGCAAUGUGUAUGGUUGCUUUCAGUCACGGAAGGAAUGUCGCAUCCGGCCACCUCGUCUCUCACAGCCUCGGAGACACUCAAGUCAGGCUCAGAAGUCAAAGCCACCGUCUCUACUGUGGUCUCCAGAAAGAGGAACAGUCUGAGGUACUGAAACCUGAAACAGCCAGUCCUCACCCUCGCCUGAAAGAACCAGGUGGAUGGCAAACCCCUUUGGGCACACUUCUAGGGGUGGGGAACUCCAGGCCGGAGCGGGAGGGGAUUGAAAAAGGAAGAGGAGGGGGAAGAGGAACAAGAAAAGGGGUGGGUAGAAGUCACGGGUGCUGGG